rnacentral:rRNA from 1 species
AUGAACGCUAGCGGCAGGCCUAAUACAUGCAAGUCGAGGGGUAACAUUGUUUGCUUGCAAACAGAUGACGACCGGCGUACGGGUGCGUAACGCGUAUGCAACCUACCUUCAACAAAGGGAUAGCCCGUGGAAACAUGGAUUAAUACCUUAUAGUACUAUUUGAUGGCAUCUGAAGAUAGUUAAAGAAUUUCGGUUGAAGAUGGGCAUGCGUAAGAUUAGCUAGAUGGUGAGGUAACGGCUCACCAUGGCGACGAUCUUUAGCGGGUCUGAGAGGAUGAUCCGCCACACUGGCACUGAGAUACGGGCCAGACUCCUACGGGAGGCAGCAGUAGGGAAUAUUGGUCAAUGGAGGCAACUCUGAACCAGCCAUGCCGCGUGCAGGAAGACGGCCUUCUGGGUUGUAAACUGCUUUUAUAUAGGAAGACUAAAGGGAUGCGUCCCUGUAAGACGGUACUAUACGAAUAAGGACCGGCUAACUCCGUG